UAGGGAAUCUUCCACAAUGGACGCAAGUCUGAUGGAGCAACGCCGCGUGAGUGAAGAAGGUUUUCGGAUCGUAAAGCUCUGUUGUUGGUGAAGAAGGAUAGAGGCAGUAACUGGUCUUUAUUUGACGGUAAUCAACCAGAAAGUCACGGCUAACUACGUGCCAGCAGCCGCGGUAAUACGUAGGUGGCAAGCGUUGUCCGGAUUUAUUGGGCGUAAAGCGAGCGCAGGCGGGAUGAUAAGUCUGAUGUGAAAGCCCACGGCUCAACCGUGGAACUGCAUCGGAAACUGACAUUCUUGAGUGCAGAAGAGGAGAGUGGAAUUCCAUGUGUAGCGGUGGAAUGCGUAGGUAUAUGGAAGAACACCAGUGGCGAAGGCGGCUCUCUUGUCUGCAACUGACGCUGAGGCUCGAAAGGAUGGGUAGCGAACAGG
rnacentral:rRNA from 1 species